GAAACUUUGAAUCCUUUAGUAGUAGGCGUUUUCUGCGGAGCAUCGAAACCAAAAGAUAUAAACGUUUUUCUAGCACCUUUUGUGUCCGAAUUAAAUGAUAUUCUUGAAAAAGGGCUUAUCAUAAACCAGCAAAUGGUACUCAUAAAACUACGGUGUUUUAUUUGCGAUACACCUGCUCGCGCGAUGCUUCGAGGUGUCAUAGGACAUAACGGCUACAAUUCGUGUUUGAAAUGUGUCACCGAAGGGGAGUACUCACAUGCUUUUAAAACCAUGAUUUUUCCAGAAACAGACGCUGCUUUAAGAAAUGAUUCGGAAUUUCGUUCCAGGA